GUUGUGAAAACCAAAUGUGCAGUCUGUGUGCGAGAAGUCCGGUCAGACCGCUCCGCCGAUGCCAGUGAUUGCUCCUGGGAGCACGCUUAACUCCAGAAACGCAUCGCACGAUCCUUCUCCAGCUACCGGCGUGAGCCAGCCCACUCCUUCUCCAGCUACCAGCGCGAGCCAGCCCGCUCCUACACCUCCGUGAUCACGGUUUCAUUCACUUCACUGAAGCCAGCUUCCUAUGAUGGAUUGCUUGCUUUUUCCUGUUUUUUCCUUUGAUGCACUUGUAUUCUGCUGGCUUGCUAUGAAGAAACUUUGCAUAUUGUAAUAUGUAUGGAUCGAUGGAACUAUGUGAUGGAUAUAUAUGUGAUGUGAAAUUUUUGAUGGA